rnacentral:rRNA from 1 species
AACAAACGCUGGCGGCGUGCCUAAUACAUGCAAGUCGAACGAGGAAAGCCUUCGGGCGAGUACUAGUGGCGCACGGGUGAGUAACACGUGGGUAAUCUGCCUUAAAGUGGGGAAUAACCAGUCGAAAGAUUGGCUAAUACCGCAUAAGACCACAAGAUCUGCGGAUCUAGGGGUUAAAGGAGCAAUUCGCUUUAAGAUGAGCCCGCGCGGGAUUAGCUAGUUGGUGAGGUAACGGC